AACGCUGGCGGCGUGCCUAAUACAUGCAAGUCGAGCGAAUGGAUUAAGAGCUUGCUCUUAUGAAGUUAGCGGCGGACGGGUGAGUAACACGUGGGUAACCUGCCCAUAAGACUGGGAUAACUCCGGGAAACCGGGGCUAAUACCGGAUAACAUUUUGAACCGCAUGGUUCGAAAUUGAAAGGCGGCUUCGGCUGUCACUUAUGGAUGGACCCGCGUCGCAUUAGCUAGUUGGUGAGGUAACGGCUCACCAAGGCAACGAUGCGUAGCCGACCUGAGAGGGUGAUCGGCCACACUGGGACUGAGACACGGCCCAGACUCCUACGGGAGGCAGCAGUAGGGAAUCUUCCGCAAUGGACGAAAGUCUGACGGAGCAACGCCGCGUGAGUGAUGAAGGCUUUCGGGUCGUAAAACUCUGUUGUUAGGGAAGAACAAGUGCUAGUUGAAUAAGCUGGCACCUUGACNGUACCUAACCAGAAAGCCNCGGNUNACUACNUGCCANCAGNCGCGGUAAUACGUANGUGGNNAGCGUUAUCNGGAAUUAUUGGGCGUAAAGCGCGCGCANGUGGUUUCUUANNUCUGAUGUGAAANCCC
rnacentral:rRNA from 1 species